rnacentral:rRNA from 1 species
GACGAACGCCGGCGGCGUGCCUAAUACAUGCGAGUAGAACGCACAGUUUAUACCGUAGCUUGCUACACCAUAGACUGUGAGUUGCGAACGGGUGAGUAACGCGUAGGUAACCUGCCUGGUAGCGGGGGAUAACUAUUGGAAACGAUAGCUAAUACCGCAUAAUAUUAAUUAUUGCAUGAUAAUUAAUUGAAAGGUGCAAUUGCACCACUACCAGAUGGACCUGCGUUGUAUUAGCUAGUAGGUGAGGUAACGGCUCACCUAGGCGACGAUACAUAGCCGACCUGAGAGGGUGAUCGGCCACACUGGGACUGAGACACGGCCCAGACUCCUACGGGAGGCAGCAGUAGGGAAUCUUCGGCAAUGGACGAAAGUCUGACCGAGCAACGCCGCGUGAGUGAAGAAGGUUUUCGGAUCGAAAAGCUCUGUUGUAAGAGAAGAACGGGUGUGAGAGUGGAAAGUUCACACUGUGACGGUAUCUUACCAGAAAGGGACGGCUAACUACGUG